rnacentral:rRNA from 1 species
UACGUAGGGUGCAAGCGUUGUCCGGAUUCAUUGGGCGUAAAGAGCUCGUAGGCGGUUCAGUUAGUCGGGUGUGAAAUCUCCGGGCUCAACCCGGAGGGGCCACCCGAUACUGCUGUGACUCGAGUCCGGUAGGGGAGUGGGGAAUUCCUGGUGUAGCGGUGAAAUGCGCAGAUAUCAGGAGGAACACCGGUGGCGAAGGCGCCACUCUGGGCCGGUACUGACGCUGAGGAGCGAAAGCGUGGGUAGCAAACAGG